rnacentral:rRNA from 1 species
AUGGUCGGCGUAAGAGUGGUUUGGGAUAACCCAAAAAUAAAGCUAAAGACCUUCUAAGCCGUCACACGCAUACCGAAGGCACGAGGCCCCGACACGAAAGUAGCUUUACUAUUACCCCGACGCCACGAAAGCUAAGAAACAAACUGGGAUUAGAUACCCCACUAUG